rnacentral:rRNA from 1 species
AACGAACGCUGGCGGCAGGCCUAACACAUGCAAGUCGAACGCGUCCUUCGGGACGAGUGGCAGACGGGUGAGUAACGCGUGGGAACGUGGCCCAAGGUUCGGAAUAACUCGGGGAAACUCGAGCUAAUACCGAAUGUGCCCUUCGGGGGAAAGAUUUAUCGCCUUGGGAUCGGCCCGCGUAGGAUUAGCUUGUUGGUGAGGUAACGGCUCACCAAGGCUACGAUCUUUAGCUGGUCUGAGAGGACGACCAGCCACACUGGAACUGAGACACGGUCCAGACUCCUACGGGAGGCAGCAGUGGGGAAUCUUGGACAAUGGGCGCAAGCCUGAUCCAGCCAUGCCGCGUGGGUGAAGAAGGCCUUAGGGUUGUAAAGCCCUUUCGGUGGUGAAGAUAAUGACGGUAACCACUAAAGAAGCCCCGGCUAACUUCGUGCCAGCAGCCGCGGUAAUACGAAGGGGGCUAGCGUUGUUCGGAAUUACUGGGCGUAAAGCGCGCGUAGGCGGACAGGUCAGUCAGAGGUGAAAUCCCG